rnacentral:misc_RNA from 1 species
ACCACAAUCUGGAAUUCACAAUGUUGCCCAAAACCAAGUGCUGAAGCAUCGAACAAGUAGCAGAAUAGCUGGUCAUUUCUACAGGAAUGGGGGCAGGAUAACCCAUCGGCGAGGAUAUUUAGGUCUUCCAUCCUUUCCAUCAAAAAGCUUCUUCAAUCGCCGGUGCUUUGCAAGGGCCCAGUUGGUCAUGAUCAUAGCAGCAACCACUAAAAAGGCAUAGCCUGCAACAGUCUGUGUUGCAAUAUUGAAACCCAACCACUGAUAAAUCUCAGUUGUGUAAUUUGCACAUGUCACAAUAUUGAAGAGAAACCCAUGUGGGAUUUGGUACCCUCCACUCCCAUCUGGAGUGCGAAGAUUUCUCAGCAAAAUGUGGCAAUAAAAGUUUGCAACUUGACAAACCAAACCAAAACCAAAACCAAUCUUCAUUUGAAGAUCACUAACAGGAGUGUAAAGUGGGUGGUUCACAUAGUAGGCAAUGUAGGAACCAAAGGUCCAAUAAUAAGCACAAUUUCGGAAAACAUUGGACAGAGGUGAAGUUGCAUGACUAAAUCGAUGCACAAAAAAUGUUUCCAUGAUACGUUUGAAGUAGUGGAAGCACCAAUAGUAUAAAGCAUAUGUCUGAACUGGGCGAAUGACACGCUCCCCCUUGUAGCCAAAGUACUGGUACACAGGGAAGAAGUAGAAGACAGGAUAUAUGAUCAAAGGACCCAAGUACUCCCAGAAAAAAAGUGUGCGGUAAGAAACUUGUGGACCCAGGUCCUUGAAAACUACAGUUAUGUUGUCCGAAUUCCCAUCACAGUAAUCCUUAAGACUCUUCUUGUAAUGAAGGACAAUAGGCCUGUCCUUUGAUCCCAGUGGAAGAGGCAGGGUCAGUCGCUGUCUUGAAGGGUAGAAUUUUUUGGUUCGCUUAUAGAUUGCCUCCUGCAGAUCAGCCACUAUAGCUGAAUCAUUAAGCUCAAGGCCUCCUUUGACAAUCUCUCUACCACUGCGUGAAACUACAGCUACCUUCAUUUUCGAGAUGAAAUGAGCGAGACCCAAUUCACCAAAUGACAAGCAAACAAACGCUUUAAAACUCCAAAGGAUUCAGCUCAAGAUUCAGAGAGAGAACAACAGGAGCUGAGAGAACCAAAGGAGGAACUAAGAAUUUUGAACGAG